rnacentral:rRNA from 1 species
AGCGAACGCUAGCGGCGGGCUUAACACAUGCAAGUCGAGCGCGUGGCUUCGGCCACGAGCGGCGAACGGGUGAGUAACACGUAGGUCAUCUGCCCUUUGGUGGGGAAUAACCCGAGGAAACUCGGGCUAAUACCGCAUACGGCCUUCGGGUCAAAGGCUUCGGCCGCCAGAGGAUGAGCCUGCGUCGCAUUACCUAGUUGGUGGGGUAAUGGCCCACCAAGGGGACGAUGCGUAGCUGGUCUGAGAGGAUGAUCCCCCACACUGGUACUGAGACACGGACCAGACUCCUACGGGAGGCAGCAGUAGGGAAUAUUGGGCAAUGGACGAAAGUCUGACCCAGCCACGCCGCGUGAAGGAUGAAUGCCCUCUGGGUUGUAAACUUCUUUUGUAUGGGAAGAAAAUUCCGAACGUGUUCGGAGCUGACGGUACCAUAAGAAUAAGCAUCGGCUAACUCCGUGCCAGCAGCCGCGGU